CAACACUCAAGCUCUGCUUGGUAUUGGGCCCUGCCGGCAACGGCAGGCCUUAAAAUCAGUGGCGGCGCCAUCUGGCUCUAAGCGUAGUAAUACUCCUCGCUACAGAGUCCCGGUGGAUGCUUGCCAGCAACCCCCAACUUCUAA
rnacentral:misc_RNA from 1 species